AACCAUAGAAACCUGCGGAGUACCUGCGGAGGGAUCAUUACAGAGUUGCAAAACUCCCUAAACCAUUGUGAACGUUACCUAAACCGUUGCUUCGGCGGGCGGCCCGGGUCCUUCCCGGCGCCCAUCGGCCCUCGCGGGCGCCCGCCGGAGGUAAACCAAACUAUUGCAUUGUAUGGCCUCUCUGAGUCUUCUGUACUGAACAAGUCAAAACUUUCAACAACGGAUCUCAGAUCGGAAGAG
rnacentral:misc_RNA from 1 species